GAUGAAGAACGCAGCGAAAUGCGAUACGUAAUGUGAAUUGCAGAAUUCAGUGAAUCAUCGAAUCUUUGAACGCACAUUGCGCCCGCCAGUAUUCUGGCGGGCAUGCCUGUCUGAGCGUCAUUUCAACCCUCAUGCCCCUAGGGCGUGGUGUUGGGGAUCGGCCAAAGCCCGCGAGGGACGGCCGGCCCCUAAAUCUAGUGGCGGACCCGUCGUGGCCUCCUCUGCGAAGUAGUGAUAUUCCGCAUCGGAGAGCGACGAGCCCCUGCCGUUAAACCCCCAACUUUCCAAGGUUGACCUCACAUCAGGUAGGAAUACCCGCUGAACUUAAGCAUAUCAAUAAGCGGAGGA
rnacentral:misc_RNA from 1 species